rnacentral:lncRNA from 1 species
CUCUUUUUGUACCUUCCAUUGAAUUCGCAACAUACUUCAAAGCUGGGACCAAUUUGCAUCAAAGCUAGAGUGCUACUGGAGUAGCCCUUGAUGGAUGUAUAAUGUAGUAAAUUUAUUGACCGACCACCGCGAAAACAAAGCUGUAUCAAAUGAGCUGAGCUAAUCAAGGCCAAAACCAUCAUAGAAUCGAUAAACCCAU